GACCGGCACACUGGGACUGAGACACGGAGAGAAACCUACGGGAGGCAGCAGUGGGGAAUAUUGGGCAAUGGAGGAAACUCUGACCCAGCGACGCCGCGUGAGGGAUGAAGGCCUUCGGGUUGUAAACCUCUUUCAGUAGGGAAGAAGCGAAAGUGACGGUACCUACAGAAGAAGCACCGGCUAACUAUGUGCCAGCAGCCGCGGUAAUACAUAGGGUGCAAGCGUUGUCCGGAAUUAUUGGGCGUAAAGAGUUCGUAGGGGGUUCGUUACUUCGGAUGUGAAAAUCGGGGGCUCAACCCCUGACCUGCAUUCGAUACGGUCGAGCUAGAGUGUGGUAGGGGAGACUGG
rnacentral:rRNA from 1 species